UACGUAGGGUGCGAGCGUUGUCCGGAAUUAUUGGGCGUAAAGAGCUCGUAGGCGGUUUGUCGCGUCUAUCGUGAAAACUGGAGGCUCAACUUCCAGCGUGCGGUGGAUACGGGCAGACUUGAGUUCGGUAGGGGAGACUGGAAUUCCUGGUGUAGCGGUGAAAUGCGCAGAUAUCAGGAGGAACACCGGUGGCGAAGGCGGGUCUCUGGGCCGAUACUGACGCUGAGGAGCGAAAGCGUGGGGAGCGAACAGG
rnacentral:rRNA from 1 species